AGGGAAUCUUCGGCAAUGGGGGGAACCCUGACCGAGCAACGCCGCGUGAGUGAUGACGGCCUUCGGGUUGUAAAGCUCUGUUAAUCGGGACGAGUGGCUCUUGUGCAAAUAGUGCGAGGAUUUGACGGUACCGGAAUAGAAAGCCACGGCUAACUACGUGCCAGCAGCCGCGGUAAUACGUAGGUGGCAAGCGUUGUCCGGAAUUAUUGGGCGUAAAGCGCGCGCAGGCGGAUUGGUCAGUCUGUCUUAAAAGUUCGGGGCUUAACCCCGUGAUGGGAUGGAAACUGCCAAUCUAGAGUAUCGGAGAGGAAAGUGGAAUUCCUAGUGUAGCGGUGAAAUGCGUAGAUAUUAGGAAGAACACCAGUGGCGAAGGCGACUUUCUGGACGAAAACUGACGCUGAGGCGCGAAAGCCAGGGGAGCGAACGGGAUUAGAUACCCCGGUAGUCCUGGCCGUAAACGAUGGGUACUAGGUGUAGGAGGUAUCGACCCCUUCUGUGCCGGAGUUAACGCAAUAAGUACCCCGCCUGGGGAGUACGACCGCAAGGUUG
rnacentral:rRNA from 1 species